CCCGCACAAGCGGUGGAGCAUGUGGUUUAAUUCGAUGCUACACGAAGAACCUUACCAGGGUUUGACAUACAAGUAGUAGGGAAGGAAACUGGACCGACCCUUCGGGGAGCUUGUACAGGUGCUGCAUGGCUGUCGUCAGCUCGUGUCGUGAGAUGUUCGGUUAAGUCCGCUAACGAGCGCAACCCUCGCUGUGUGUUACAAGUGUCAUAUGGGACUGCCGAUAUAAAGUCGGAGGAAGGUGGGGAUGACGUCAAGUCAGCAUGGCCUUUAUGUCCGGGGCUACACACACGCUACAAUGGCCGGUACAAUAGGUAGCAAGACCGCGAGGUGGAGCCAAUCCUAAAAGCCGGUCUCAGUUCAGAUUGCAGGCUGCAACUCGCCUGCAUGAAGUCGGAGUUGCUAGUAACCGCGCGUCAGCAAUAGUGCGGUGAAUACGUUCCCGGGCCUU
rnacentral:rRNA from 1 species